AUGUACAUUCCUAUGAUAUAACGUUAAUGAAUUGGAUCCCAUUAGAACUUCACAAUUAAGCGUGCUUGGGCUAGAGUAGUACUGGGAUGGGUGACUGCUUGGGAAUUCCUAGUGUUUUACAUG
rnacentral:rRNA from 1 species